GAGCCCGACGUGGGGCUGGAACUCAGGAACCGUGAGAUCAUGACCUGGGUCAAAAUCAAGAGUCAGACGCUCACCGGACUGAGCCGCCCAGGCGCCCCCCGUCUCUUCGACUUGUAAGAAGCCUUGUGAUUGCAUUGUGUCUACCCGCAUAACCCAGGGUGAUCAUCCCAUGUUAAGAAUGUCACAGACUUGGAAUCGUACCGUGCGUAGCCUUUUCGGACUGGCUUCUUUUACCUCGUAAUAUACGUUUAGGGUCCCUCCAGGUCUUUUCACGGCUCGACAGCCCGUUCCUACUUAGUGCCGACCCACAUCCCGUUGUCUGGGUGGACCACAGGUUGUCCGUUCACCUGCUGACGGACACCUCGGCUGUUCCAGGGUUUGGGGGCUCUGAAUGAAGCCGCUGUGAACACCCGUGUGCAGGUUCUCGUGUGGACACAAGUUCUCAUCUCCUUUAGGUAAACAGCAAGGAGCGUGACUCCAGGAUCACGUGGCCAGAGCGUGUUUAAUUUUAUAAGAACUCUCCAGACUGUCUUCCAAAGUGGCUGCCCCAUUCCGUUUUCCCACCAGCCACGAGCGAACGUUCCUGUGGCUCCGCGUCCUCACCAGCAUCGGGUGUCGUCGGUGCUCUGGAUUUUGGCCGGUCUAGCAGUUUAUUUAUGUAUUUGAAGAGGGAGAGAGCAAAAAAGGGAGAGCGAGAGAGCGUCCCAAGCGGGCUCCUUACCGUCGGUGCCAAACCUGAUGAGGGACUCAAACUCAAGAACCGCGAGAUCCUGACCUGCGCCGAAAUCACGAGUGGGCGCCCCGUGUGACAUGCUUUUACCAGAUGCGUCUUUUGCAAAUAUUUUCUCCCGUCUGUGGCUCGUCUUCUCACUCUCUGACACUGUCUUUCACAGAGCAGGAAUUUUUUAAGUGAAUGAGGUCCAGCGUAUCAACGAUUUCCUUUCUGGACGGUGCCUUUGAAGUUGCAUCCAAAGAUGGUCAGCGUACCCACGGCCAUCCAGGUUUUGUCCCGUGUCAUCCUCUAAGAGCUUUAUAGUUUUGCAUUUUACGUUCGGGGCUGUGAUCCAUUUUUUUUUUUUUUUUUAAAGAUUUUAGUUUUUUAAGUAAUCUCUCCACCCAGUGUGGGGCUUGAACCCACAACCCCGAGAUCAGGAAUCGCACACCUCACCGGCUGAGCCGGUCGGUCGCCCCCGGUCUGUGAUCCACUGUGAGUGAAUUUCUGUAAAGUGUGUGCAGCUGUGAGCCUACGUUCUCUCCCCCUUUGCAUGUGGGUGACCAGCUGUCCCUGCCCGUUCGUUGGAAAGGCGGCCUUUGCUUCUUGGUAAAGAUCAGUUGACUAUUUACGUGGGUCCCUCCAGGCCUUGGUGUCGCUGCUGAUCUCUACGAGUCCUCCGGGAAAGCACUGUUUCUAUCUUGUCCACCGUCUUGGUCGGGAGGAAGUUUCCUGGGGCCCCGCUUGGCUCUUCCUGCCGUAACGGCCCCGCUGGUCAAGGCGCCGAGGUGAGCCUCCCUCCAGCGGCUGAGCAGAUCCAUCCCAACGUACAGGUCGGAUCCGUAGACCUGCCGGACCCGGGGGAGACGACUCAAGCCACGGUGCCUUCCUCGCGGACGCCCCUUCUGCGAGCAGAGGACCCUGACGCUGCUGCAAAGCUGCGGGUGGCGGUGGCGGUUUAGAUACCACCCCCCGGGGGUCCUCUGAAGGUCUACACCCCACCCCCCUUUGCCCAGUGUGCGCUUCAUUCAGCUACAGGGUCACGGACCCCUCUGAGGAAGGACUGCGAGAGUAUUCGGUGUCGGGACAGAGCUUGUGGCUGGGUCCUCCUCCGAGAGCGGCUCCGCCUUUGACUUUGGCGCUGGUCUGGGACCGUGGGCGACCGUGAUGGCUGAUGUCAGAUAUCUGCUCGGCAGAGCCUGGGGUUAUUCUGACUUUACAGAUCGAACGGUGCCCCGCACACUGCCCACGUGUCCCGUCGCACGUCAGAGCGCCCUGACCACCACUCUGCCUUCUGCCUGUCACGACGGCAUGCUGCAGCCACUUAACCUCUUCUCUUCCAGAAACUGGUCAUUCCCCUCGGAGUCGCCACUGAGCUCCGCAGUCACUCACAAGUGUCUUUCUUCCUUUUGUCUUUUUAAAGUAAUUUUUAAAAUGA